CGAAACUCUUAAGCAAGUUACAGAUAUUAACGUGGAAGAUAUAUUGUAGAUAUAUUAGAUAUGGAUGGAAAUAAUAAAUAAAUAAGAGAUAUGAAAUUUUAAAACUGCUAUGGAUAGUAGAAGAUACCGUUGUCCCUAAGGGGACACCAAGCGAUGCGACCUCCUGUGUGUGAACAGUGAGGUCUCGAGUUCAAACUCCACUGCUCUCUCUCCCCA
rnacentral:lncRNA from 1 species